CCCCACCCAGCCUGAUGGGCCAGCGAUCUCCCCUGCCCAGGCUCUAGUCCUGGAGGGAGGCCGGCUCCCUGCAGGGCCACCCAGAGGAAGGAGAGGAGAUGGGUUCCGGGUCCACACUGGCCCAGGCUCCUACCCCAGACGUGUGGC